GUUUGAGUCCUUGUUCUUCUUUUUGUUAGUUUUUUGGCAAACAAAUUUCAUUCAUUUCGACCAAAAAAAUCGUGAAUUGCUUGCUCUGCCUUAGGAGCUGGUCGAUGAUGACGAAAAUUAUCGCGAAAAGAGCUGCAGGGCUCACGCUUCUCCAAAAGGGUAAUCCUUCUUCUCUCUAUUCUCUGUUUGGGCUCGUCUUUUUCAGAAGCCAGUUUUGCUCUUUUGAUGUCAAUCGUUGUCAUACUGUUAGUGUUAAGGAAACCAUUGAUUUGGAGGAUUUGGUAAAAACGCGUUGUAAAUCUGGCAAUCUUGGGUUAGACGAAGCACUGGGUCACUUCGAUUCCGUAAUUCAUAUGAAACCCAUUCCCUCGAUUUGGGCUAUUAAUCAUUUGCUUGGGGCAGUCUCCAAGAUGAAUCAGUGUUUCACUGUAGUUUCUAUGUAUAAACAGAUGCUGGCUUGUGUUGGCUUACACCCGGAAGUCGGUACACUGAGUGUUGUUAUCAAUUGCUUGUGCCGUAUGAAUCGGGUGGACUUGGGUUUCUCUGUUUUAGCAACUAUCCUUAAACAUGGUCUUCAGCCCAAUGCUUAUACUUUGAAUGCUUUGCUUCAUGGGGUUUGCAAGUAUAGGUCGCUCUCUGAGGCAAUGGAUUUGUUCCAGAAAAUAGAAGAGAAAGGAUUAGCAUGCAGUGAAAUCACUUACGCUACUAUAAUUAAUGGGUUGUCCAGAGCUGGGAAAACAUGUAUGGCGCUUGAGAUACUCGAGCAAAUGUAUGAAGAUGGAAGGUUUAAGCCUGUCCCUCAUUGCUAUAAUCCAAUCAUUGACCGCUUACGCAAAGAAAGAAGAAUAGAUGAGGCGCUGACCCUAUUUCGAGAUAUGAUCAACAAAAGUGUUGUGCCGGAUAAAUUCAGUUACACUUCAUUAAUUUAUGGAUUAUGCAACAUGGGUCUUUGGACACGAGCACUUGCUCUGUUUGAAAUAAUGAAAAACAAAGGCAUAAAGCCCAAUGUUUUCCAUUUCAAUUCCUUAAUUGAUGCUUCAUGCAAGUCGGGUAAGUGGGAAGAAGCUGUGCUGCUAUUUUAGAAACAUGAUUGAUUGUGGCGCCUUCCCUGAUAUUGUUACAUUCAGUUCUGUGUUGGAUGCUUUGGGCAAGGAAGGGAAGACGGCAGAGGCACUUAACCUUGUGGAAGAAAUGUUCCGUAGAGGUGUAAAGCCUAAUGUCGUCACCUACAGCUCCUUAAUUAAUAGCCUCUGCCAUUCCGCGCAAUGGAAAGAAGCCACAAGGUUGUUUAAUAGAAUGCUGGAUGAAGGAAUUGCACCAAAUGUUGUAACCUUUACCACUGUAAUACAUGCUCUUUGCAAGGAGAGACGGAUCGAGGAAGCGCUCUCCGUGUUAGAGCUAAUGCCCCAAAGAGGUAUGAGGCUUAACAUAUUCACUUACAACUCUCUAAUUUAUGGCAUGUGCCGUACAUAUCAAUGGGCUGAAGCCACAAGGUUGUUUGAUGAAAUGGUAGCUCAGGGAGUCUUACCUCACAUAUCAUAAAUUUGACAAUACUUUUGGAUGCUCUCUUCCAAGGAGGGAUGCCAGAAGAGGCUCAUAAAGUAGUUGAGGCCAAAGUUAAAUAUGGUAUGGAGCUGAGCAAAAUAACUUGCAGUAUGCUAAUUGAUGAUUAUUGUUUUCGUGGCAAAAUGGAUAAGGCAAAGAAGGUCAUUGAUUUAAUGGUGAUAAAAGAUCGUGUCCCUGAUAUUGCUUCUUGCUAUAAAGCCUUGGUCAACGGCUAUAUGCAAGCUAAAAGGACAGGUGAAGCUUUGAGGCUCGUUGAGGAAAUGAUCGAACAAGGGGUGAUGCCUGAUUUGGAAACCCUAAAGGCUUUGAGAGGUUUGCGUCCUAAAAGGCAUGUUGUAUCUGCAGAAUAGUUCCCCAUGAGACUGGUGGAACUAGUUACAUUUCUGUUAAAUCUUUAACUGCUAAUCAUGUCAUUGCAUUCUAAACUUGUAUGACCAAGCAAUAUUAGUGAAUGGAAGUGGUUUCAAACAAUUAUAGGAUCCUAACCCUAAGGAAACCAUUGAUUUGGAGAAAUUGGUAGAAAUGCGUUGUAAAUCUGGUAAUCUUGGGUUAGAUGAAGCACUGGGUCACUUCAAAUCCAUAAUUCAAAUGAAACCCAUUCCCUCUAUUUAGUCUAUUAAUCAUUUGUUUUGGGGCCCCCUCCAAGAUGAAUCAGGUUUCCGCUGUAGUUUCUAUGUAUAAACAGAUGCUGGGUUGUAUUGGCUUACACCCCGAAGUCAGUACACUGAGUAUUGUUAUCAAUUGCUUGUGCCCUAUGAAUCGGGUGGACUUGGGUUUCUCUGUGUUAGCAACUAAACUUAAACAUGGUCUUCAGCCAAUGCUUAUACUUUGACUGCUUUGCUUCAUGGAGUUUGCAAGUAUGGGUCGAUGUCUGAGGCCAUGCAGUUGAAAAUAUAGAGAAAGGAUUAGCAUGCAGUGAAGUCACUUACGCUCGUAUAAUGAAUUUGUUAUGCCGAGCUGGGAAGACAUGUAUUGCACUUGAGAUACUCGAGCACAUCUAUCAAGAUGGAAGGUUUAAGCCCAACCCUCAAGGCUAUAAUCCAGUCAUUGACAGCUUAUGCAAAGAAAGACGAGUAGACCGGGCUGUGAUCCUAUUUUGAGAUAUGGUCUUUGGAAGCGAGCACUUGCUCUGUUUGAAAUAAUGAAUGAGAACGGCAUAAUUCCAGAUGCUGUCACUUUUACUUCCUUAAUUUCUGCAGCGUGCAAGUCUGGAAAAUGGGAAGAAGCUGUGCGGCUAUUUAGAAACUUGAUUGAUUCAAUCCGGGGGCAAGCUUAUGAAGCAGUGCCAAGCUUCAAGCAACUGCAAGUUCUUACAUUGUGGUUUUUCUGGGAUUAAUUGUAACAACCCAGUUACUGUUAUGAGGGUGUUUGAGAGCUCUGUUUAUUGCUUGCAGCCUCCAGGGGAUUCACACACUAGAAGAUCAACUUUCGACUCGUUUCUGACGGGCUGCAUUCCGGUUUUCUUUCAUCCUGCAACUGCGUAUACGCAGUAUUUGUGGCAUUUACCGCAGAAUCAUACCAAAUAUUCGGUGUUCAUUCCGGUGAAAGAAGUUGAAGAUUUGAAAGAAGGCAUCAUUGAGAAAACUUUGCUUGGAAUUUCAAAGCAUGAGGAAUUGGCCAUGAGGGAUGAGGUUAUAAGGCUAAUACCAAAUCUGGUAUAUGCAGAUCCCAGGUCAAGAUUAGAGACCGAAGAUGCAUUCGAUUUAGCUGUACAGGGAAUUCUUGAGAGGAUAGAGAAUGUUAGGGAGGUUAUUAGAGAGAGGAAGGAUCCUGGUAUUGGUUUUGCAGAUGAGGAUAAUUUUAAGUUUACAUUUCCUGAGACACCAGAAUAAACUUGGUAGAUUGUGUUUAGAGAACAAAAAGAGAUAGAAGAACAUUGCAGGAUAUUGAAAUUCAUCAAACUAUAAUUAUUUCCAUUUGGUUGUAGAAAUAUUAUAUGAGACAAUGCCAGUUUUUACCUCUGUUUCUUAUAGCAA